UCUCUUUCCGGGAUAGUGUUUAGUAUGUUGAUGCUGCAUUAACAAAUAUAAGUGUAUAUGAAGUGAAAACACCAAAAAUAAACAACGGUUGCGAUAGACACCUAUAAACUGUUAGAUGCCCAUAAUAUCACUUUAAUUUCAAUGAGCUGACGUGUUAUAUACUUCCCUUUUAACGAAUUUGGCCACAGCUAGUUUAUAGACACAAACACGACUUCAACACAUGUUGAUACCGAUUUAAGCUUGAUGCUAUUAAUAUUAUUUGGAUUUAACGUGUCUGUGAGCAAGCACAAAAUAACAUCAGACAAGCCAGCUGGAAGAUUAAAAGCCAGACCGGGUCUCUGUGCAGAGGAUCAUGAAGAUGUCAAGGAAUACAUGACCUUCUUGAGAAGAAGUUUGAUAAGUUAUUAAUACCACACCACCAGCAAACACUAAGCAUCUCUGCUCAAUGCCUGUGAUAUAUUAAGACGAUGAAAUGGAACACUGUGCAAAAGCAACUAUUCCUGUCUAUCCCACUUGCAGAUGUAACAAACCAAGUUGCCAACCAAUAUGGGACUAGUAAACGCUCAUUUUACCGCUAGUUGCUGUAACAAAUUAACAAUCACGAGCAGUCUUUGAUAUUGGGCAAUGACUAUGAUAGAUUUUAGAGUAACUAUAGCACACAUGUUGAUAUUAAUGUUUGAAUUUAGAAGACAUUUUACAUAUACCCACUUUAUUAUGUACUUUUAAUAAUUUAUAUUCCAUUCCUCCAUAGCGGCUUAAAAUAAGUGCAUGCAUUUAUUAAUUUCAAAAUAGUUACCAUGGUAACCACAUUGUCAUAUAACUAAAUCUUUAAUAUUUAUGAUUCCUGAAAGUUUUGUUGUUUGAUAAGUUUUAUGAUAACAAUUUGUAAAAUUAAUUGAACGAUUUAUUGAAAAUUGAACAAAACAGAGAAAAGUAUUAUGGGAUCUGUUUUGAAUUUGUUAUAAAUUGUUAUUGUCAUUGAAUAAUUAUUAUAUCUGAAUUGCUAAGAGAUUGAAACAAAUGCAUUUUUAAUAAUGUUGUGUAUAAUUGUUUGCAAAGUUUAUUGUUUAGUAAACAUAAUAAGUCUAGCGACGUCAUUUUAAAUGAGUUUUUCUCAUUAUGACGCUUGCCGAAUUAGUACCAAAAGUCUCAGAACACGCCACAUAAACUUAUUAAAACAUAAUUAUAUGUACCUAACCAAUUAAUUUAUGUGACAAAGUAGUCAAGUCUUUCUUUAUAUUUUCCGAAAUAGUGUUGGUAAAAUGAAAUAAAACUGGUGCAUGUUGAAAAGGCACUAUUUAUAAUAUAUAAGGCAUUAAAAGUACAUUUGUAUGCAUAUGUGCUCACAAACACUUACUAUAGGCCUCUACAAAGCAAAGAAAUUGCAACAAAAUGGCUUGAAAUUAGGUUUUUUGUCACGAAAAAGAAUUAUAAAGUUGCUGCUCACAUAAGGUUUCCUAUUCUUCUCCAGAUGGUAUCCAUGUUUUCCCAACAUGGUCAUUAAAAACUCAAAUUUCUCCACAAAAAAAUAGUUUUCCG